UACGUAGGGUGCAGGCGUUAAUCGGAAUUACUGGGCGUAAAGCGUGCGCAGGCGGUUUCUUAAGUCAGAUGUGAAAGCCCCGGGCUUAACCUGGGAAUGGCAUUUGGGACUGCAAGGCUGGAGUGUGGCAGAGGAGACUGGAAUUCCUGGUGUAGCAGUGAAAUGCGUAGAUAUCAGGAGGAAUACCGAUGGCGAAGGCAGGUCUCUGGGCCACUACUGACGCUGAGAAGCGAAAGCAUGGGGAGCGAACAGG
rnacentral:rRNA from 1 species